rnacentral:rRNA from 1 species
CAUGUCUUUUUGAUUAUAAUUUAAAGUCUGAUCUGCACAAUGAUUUUUAAAUUGCCGCAGUAUUUUGACUGUGCAAAGGUAGCAUAGUAAUUAGUUUCUUAAUUAGAAGCUGGAAUGAAUGAUUGGACAAGAAAAUUUCUGUCUCUUAUUAAUCUAUUUAUUAACUUUAUUUUUAAGUUAAAAAGCUUAAAUUUAUAUAAAAGACGAGAAGACCCUAUAGAGUUUAAUAUUUAUUUAUUAUUGAUUAAUAGAAAUAGUUUUAAUUUUUAAGUAUUUAGUUGGGGUGACUUAAAGAUUUGUUAAAUUCUUUAAAAUUUUAAUUGAUGAUUUUUAAUUUUUAUAUCUAAAUUUUUUAAAUUUAAAAUUAAUUACCUUAGGGAUAACAGCGUAAUUUUUCUUAAGAGUUCAUAUUUAAAGAAAAUUUUGCGACCUCGAUGUUGGAUUAAAAUUAAUUUUUGGUGCAGUAACUUAAAAAUUAGGUCUGUUCGACCUUUAAAAUUUUACAUGAUCUGAGUUUAAACCGGUGUAAGCCAGGUUGGAUUCUAUCUUUAGUUUAAUUAUAUAUUUUAGUACGAAAGGACCAAGUAUAUAUUAUAUUAAUUG